rnacentral:rRNA from 1 species
AGUAACGCUGGCGGCGUGCUUACACAUCGCAGUCGAACGAACCUUCGGGUUAGUGGCGGACGGGUGAGUAACGCGUGAGAAUCUGCCCUCAGGAGGGGGACCAACAGUUGGAAACGACUGCUAAUACCCCAUAUGCCCGCGAGGUGAAAUGAAUUUCGCCUGAGGAUGAGCUCGCGUCUGAUUAGCUAGUUGGUGUAAGUAAUGGCUCACCAAGCAUCGAUCAGUAGCUGGUCUGACACGAUGAUCAAGCCACACUGGGACUGAGACACGGCCAGAAUCCUACGGGACAGCAGCAGUGGGGAAUUUUCCGCAAUGGGCGAAAGCCUGACCGGAGCAACUGCCGCGUGAGAGGAUGAAGUGCCUCUGGGCUGUAAACUCUUUUAUCACAGGGAAGAAAGAUCUGACGAGUAACUUGAUGAAUAAUGCCACGGCCUAAUUCCCGUGCCCACCAGCCGCCGGUGAAUACGAGGAGAUGGCGAAGCGUUAUCCGGAAUUAUUUGGGCGUA